CUUAUAAUAAGUGCCAUCAAACCCAUCCGGGCCUGGCCCUUUGUUAGCCCUUAGGCCUGUGAUAGCCAAAUUAAUUUCCUCCUUGUUUAUCAAGGCACCUAGUGAGUGCAGUUGCUCAUCAUUCAAUCUGGGCAUCUCCAGGAAUACUCAGAUGGCCUCCGUGUAAACCUCAUUUGAGCCAUUGUAGGUGAUUGGAAUGGUUGUAUAAAGCUGAAAAUAAAUCUGUGUAUAUCCUGUUAGUUUCUUAGGGGUUGUUGCUUAGUUUGCCUUCCUUGUACUUAAUGGCUGCAAUUAGAGUAGCC